AUUGAACGCUGGCGGCAUGCCUUACACAUGCAAGUCGAACGGUAACGGGCCUUCGGGUGCCGACGAGUGGCGAACGGGUGAGUAAUGCAUCGGAACGUACCUUUCAGUGGGGGAUAACGUAGCGAAAGUUACGCUAAUACCGCAUAUUCUGUGAGCAGGAAAGCAGGGGAUCGCAAGACCUUGCGCUGAUUGAGCGGCCGAUGUCAGAUUAGCUAGUUGGUGAGGUAAAGGCUCAUCAAGGCGACGAUCUGUAGCGGGUCUGAGAGGAUGAUCCGCCACACUGGAACUGAGACACGGUCCAGACUCCUACGGGAGGCAGCAGUGGGGAAUUUUGGACAAUGGGGGCAACCCUGAUCCAGCCAUGCCGCGUGAGUGAAGAAGGCCUUCGGGUUGGUUAAA
rnacentral:rRNA from 1 species